rnacentral:lncRNA from 1 species
AGUGUGAUUGUCAUCACAUUUUUAAGUAAUCCCGUGAAAUAUACAUUUUUACCUGUAAAGUCUUCUAUUUUUCUUCCCUCUUCUUUCGUGUAUUGAUUCACCUGUAAUUGAAACAGCACACAGCUGAAAUAAAUAUAAAUAAGUAAAUAAAUAAAUAAUAAAAGAAUAAAGCACUCUUAGAGACACGCAACAGUUUGUACGUUUUGCUCAAUUAAAUGAAUCGGUUCUUCGAACGAACUAACGUUAACUGACUCGAACAAUCCAAGAAGCGCUAAACCAUCACUCGCCGCGCUCUCUACUGGCUUUUCUGCGCUAUUAGCAUUUAAGUAGUUAGCAAACGUUUGAGGGGACACGCAACUAGCUUGGGACUCGAUUGAGCUGUUAAUGGAGAUGGAAGACCCUUCAGAUCCGAGUCUGUGUCUGCUCUCAUCGUCCAAGAAUGUGUCCAGAGAUGCGACCAACAUCAUACCACCACCAUCAAACCUGCAAGACCCAGUCAUAGAGUCACAACUGUGGCCAGACGCCAUGUCUGAUUCAAGUAAGACAAAUAGCAAGUUUAAUCUCUUUGCUCUUCGUGUUCUUCUGAAUGUCCAAACCAGAAUUUAUGCCUUUCUCAUUUGAAACAGAAAGCAGAAAGACUUCCACACCCUCUCCAUCAACCUCUGUCUGUCCGGAAGCAGAGGAUGUUGAGUGUCUGACACCUGUGGGCUCAGGGAAGAGAACCAGAGUCUCUGUGAAUAAGUGCCAUGUUUGUAGGAAAGAAUUUAAAACAACCAGUGCACUUAAAACACACCUCUUGACCCACAGACAGGAUGGGCCUCAUUUCUGUGGCGUCUGUCAGAGAGCAUUUAAACACCAUCAUCAGCUCAUUUCUCACAUGAUGACCCACCACAAGAGAAAGAGCUAUAACUGCACACAGUCUGGCUGCCACAAAACUUACGAUGACAAGACCUCCCUAAAACAUCACUGUGCCUCUCGACACGGAGUCCACCUCACGUCUCCUUCCUCCUCUAGACUCUCUUCCAACUAUGACCUGCCGGCCUCAGCGUGGGAGCCAACGGUUAAUCUAACUGCUUCUGACUACCUCUUUACCUCUCAAC